rnacentral:rRNA from 1 species
GUAGGUGGCAAGCGUUGUCCGGAAUUAUUGGGCGUAAAGCGCGCGCAGGUGGUUCGUUUAAGUCUGAUGUGAAAGACCCCCGGGCUCGACCGGGGAGGGUCAUUGGAAACUGGGGAACUUGAGUGCAGGAGAGGAAAGUGGAAUUCCACGUGUAGCGGUGAAAUGCGUAGAUAUGUGGAGGAACACCAGUGGCGAAGGCGACUUUCUGGCCUGUAACUGACACUGAGGCGCGAAAGCGUGGGGAGCAAACAGGACUAGAUACCCUGGUAGUCCACGCCGUAAACGAUGAGUGCUAAGUGUUGGGGGGUUUCCGCCCCUCAGUGCUGCGGCUAACGCAUUAAGCACUCCGCCUGGGGAGUACGGUCGCAAAGACUGA